rnacentral:rRNA from 1 species
UACGAAGGGGGCUAGCGUUGUGCGGAAUUACUGGGCGUAAAGCGCACGUAGGCGGCUCGAUGAGUCAGGGGGGAAAUCCCAGGGCUCAACCCUGGAACUGCCUUUGAUACUGUCGAUCUGGAGUAUGGAAGAGGUGAGUGGAAUUCCGAGUGUAGAGGUGAAAUUCGUAGAUAUUCGCAAGAACACCAGUGGCGAAGGCGGCUCACUGGCCCGAUACUGACGCUGAGGCACGAAAGCGUGGGGAGCAAACAGG